UCCUGUACAUCAAUACAAAUACAAUGCUCUUUAAAUAGAGAUUGUUUUACAAAUACAAUCUACUGAAUCCCUAUAAUAAUGCAAUUAUUCAAAAAAUAGUAACAGAAGCCAGAUUAUUUGGCUAAGAAUAUGAACUAAUACCAAGUCAAGAACCUGCUGCACAAAGAGAUCAAAUAACCAAAUAUAUUCUUGUUGUGAAAAAUAGGAAAAUAUUAGUCAACCUUAUAACCCCUUUGACAACCUUAUACCUACCAUAUUUUCCAUGAACAGGUUGUACUUAAUUUGCAGAAUCACACUUAUCACCUUAUAUCAGCU
rnacentral:lncRNA from 1 species